GGAUGCGAUCAUACCAGCACUAAAGCACCGGAUCCCAUCAGAACUCCGAAGUUAAGCGUGCUUGGGCGAGAGUAGUACUAGGAUGGGUGACCCCCUGGGAAGUCCUCGUGUUGCAUUCC
rnacentral:rRNA from 1 species